rnacentral:tRNA from 1 species
GGGUAGAGCUCAGUGGCAGAGUGCCUGCUUAGCAUGCAUGAGGUCCUGGGUUCCAUCCCCAGUAAGUCCA